rnacentral:rRNA from 1 species
GACGAACGCUGGCGGCGUGCUUAACACAUGCAAGUCGAACGGAAAGGCCCUGCUUUUGUGGGGUGCUCGAGUGGCGAACGGGUGAGUAACACGUGAGUAACCUGCCCUUGACUUUGGGAUAACUUCAGGAAACUGGGGCUAAUACCGGAUAGGAGCUCCUGCUGCAUGGUGGAGGUUGGAAAGUUUCGGCGGUUGGGGAUGGACUCGCGGCUUAUCAGCUUGUUGGUGGGGUAGUGGCUUACCAAGGCUUUGACGGGUAGCCGGCCUGAGAGGGUGACCGGCAACAUGGGGAAUGAGAUACGGCCCAGACUCCUACGGGAGGCAGCAGUGGGGAAUAUUGAAAAAUGGGCGGAAGCCUGAUGCAGCAACGCCGCGUGCGGGAUGACGGCCUUCGGGUUGUAACCCGCUUUCGCCUGUGACGAAGCGUGAGUGACGGUAAUGGGUAAAGAAGCACCGGCUAACUACGUG